GGGUGACUAGUCUAGUGGUCAGGACGCUUCGUUGUGGGAUUUGCCUAAAAACGGGCGCCCUUUGGAAUCAAUGAUUCCCAACGACCGAAGAAACCCCGGUUCGAUUCCGGGGUCGCCCA
rnacentral:tRNA from 1 species